rnacentral:tRNA from 1 species
GCCGCGGUGGUGGAACUGGAAUACACGUAUGGUUUAGGACCAUAUUCCCUUGUGGAUUGAGAGUUCGAAUCUCUCCCGCGGCA